rnacentral:snRNA from 1 species
AUGCUUGCUUCAGCAGCACAUAUACUAAAAUUGGAAUGCUACAGAGAAGAUUAGCACAGCUCCUUCACAGGAAUAAGACUUCAUGAAGCAGUCCACUUGUUU